GAUUUGGGAUACUGCUGGACAAGAAAGGUAUCGUGCAAUUACAAGUGCAUACUACAGAGGGGCUGUCGGUGCAUUAGUUGUCUACGAUAUCACUCGACAUGUCACAUUUGAAAAUGUUGAGAGAUGGUUAAAAGAACUUCGAGACCAUACCGACCAAAAUAUAGUCAUAAUGCUCGUUGGGAACAAGGCCGACUUACGUCACUUGCGUGCUGUUUCAACAGAGGAUGCCAAGGCCUUUGCUGAAAGAGAGAGUACCUUCUAUAUGGAGACUUCAGCACUUGAAUCCUUGAACGUUGAGAAUGCGUUUACAGAAGUACUGACAGAGAUAUACAGGGUGGUCUGUCGGAAAGCACUCGAAGUUGGGGAUGAUCCUACUGCGUUGCCGAAGGGGCAAACUAUAAAUGUUGGCAAGGAUGAUGUUUCAGCUGUGAAAAAAGUUGGUUGCUGCUCUGUGUAAGCUAAAAAAAUCAAGAAAUCGGUGAAGUUAAACUUUCAAAUGGCUUCUCCUAUAGUUGCAUUGAGUAUUCUCAGUUUUGAAUAUCUUAGGAAUUAUUCCACCUCUGUAUUGUUUCAUUAACUUACCUUUAGUUUGUACUUUGUACCCUAUUUUGCUAGUCUUUU
rnacentral:misc_RNA from 1 species